rnacentral:rRNA from 1 species
ACGGGUGAGUAACACGUGGGUGAUCUGCCCUGCACUUCGGGAUAAGCUUGGGAAACUGGGUCUAAUACCGGAUAGGACCAUGGUUUAGCAUCUCAUGGUGGAAAAAUAUUGUUUUGGUGUAGGAUGAGCCCGCGGCCUAUCAGCUUGUUGGUGGGGUAAUGGCCUACCAAGGCGUCGACGGGUAGCCGGCCUGAGAGGGUGGACGGCCACAUUGGGACUGAGAUACGGCCCAGACUCCUACGGGAGGCAGCAGUGGGGAAUAUUGCACAAUGGGCGCAAGCCUGAUGCAGCGACGCCGCGUGAGGGAUGACGGCCUUCGGGUUGUAAACCUCUGUUAGCAUCGAAGAAGCGAAAGUGACGGUAGGUGCAGAGAAAGCGCCGGCUAACUACGUGCCAGCAGCCGCGGUAAUACGUAGGGCGCGAGCGUUGUCCGGAAUUAUUGGGCGUAAAGAGCUUGUAGGCGGUUGGUCGCGUCUGCUGUGAAAGGCCGGGGCUUAACUCCGGUUUUGCAGUGGGUACGGGCUAACUAGAGUGCAGUAGGGGAGACUGGAAUUCCUGGUGUAGCGGUGGAAUGCACAGAUAUCAGGAGGAACACCGAUGGCGAAGGCAGGUCUCUGGGCUGUAACUGACGCUGAGAAGCGAAAGCAUGGGGAGCGAACAGGAUUAGAUACCCUGGUAGUCCAUGCCGUAAACG